rnacentral:rRNA from 1 species
UACGGAGGGGGCUAGCGUUGUUCGGAAUUACUGGGCGUAAAGCGCACGUAGGCGGAUCAGCAAGUUAGGGGUGAAAGCCCGGGGCUCAACUCCGGAAUUGCCUUUAAGACUGCAUCGCUAGAAUUGUGGAGAGGUAAGUGGAAUUCCGAGUGUAGAGGUGAAAUUCGUAGAUAUUCGGAAGAACACCAGUGGCGAAGGCGACUUACUGGACACAUAUUGACGCUGAGGUGCGAAAGCGUGGGGAGCAAACAGG